rnacentral:tRNA from 2 species
GUUUAUGUAGCUUAAUUUAUCCAAAGCAAGACACUGAAAAUGCCUAGAUGGACUCACAAAUCCCAUAAACA